AGAGUUUGAUCCUGGCUCAGGAUGAACGCUAGCGGCAGGCUUAACACAUGCAAGUCGAGGGGCAGCACAGGUAGCAAUACUGGGUGGCGACCGGCAAACGGGUGCGGAACACGUACGCAAUUUACCUUUGUCUGGGAGAUAGCCCGGAGAAAUCCGGAUUAAUACCCCAUAAUAUAUUUAAGUGGCAUCAUUUGAAUAUUAAAGCUCAGGCGGACAGAGAUGAGCGUGCGUCCCAUUAGCUAGUUGGUAAGGUAAAGGCUUACCAAGGCGACGAUGGGUAGCUGGUGUGAGAGCACGACCAGCCACACGGGCACUGAGACACGGGCCCGACUCCUACGGGAGGCAGCAGUGAGGAAUAUUGGUCAAUGGGCGCAAGCCUGAACCAGCCAUGCCGCGUGGAGGAUGAAGGCCUUCUGGGUUGUAAACUUCUUUUAUUGGGGAAGAAACCUCUGAUUUCUAUCGGAGCCGACGGUACCCAAGGAAUAAGCACCGGCUAACUCCGUGCCAGCAGCCGCGGUAAUUC
rnacentral:rRNA from 1 species